rnacentral:rRNA from 1 species
GUCUACGGCCAUGCCACCCUGAACAUGCCUGAUCUCGCCUGAUCUCGGAAGCUAAGCAGGGUCGGGUCUCGUUAAUACUUGGAUGGGAGACCAUCUAGGAAUACCAGGUGCUGUAGCUG